UACGUAGGGUGCAAGCGUUGUCCGGAAUUAUUGGGCGUAAAGAGCUCGUAGGCGGUUUGUCGCGUCUGCUGUGAAAACUCGGGGCUUAACUCCGGGCCUGCAGUGGGUACGGGCAGACUAGAGUGCGGUAGGGGAGACUGGAAUUCCUGGUGUAGCGGUGAAAUGCGCAGAUAUCAGGAGGAACACCGGUGGCGAAGGCGGCAUCCUGGACCGGCAUUGACGCUGAUGAGCGAAAGCUAGGGGAGCAAACGGG
rnacentral:rRNA from 1 species